rnacentral:rRNA from 1 species
AUGAAACUUCGCAGAUCCACACAUCAUAAACAAAAUUUGCUACCCCAUAAAAUCCGGUCAUCAUCACCAUACGCAGGUUUCCCACAACCAGUACAAGGUCCACAGCAGCAGCAGAAUGAUGCCCCCUCUCAUAUACCAGGGUUACAUGAUGAAACCACGGCCCUUUUAGAUAUUACAACGCGGUUGAUUUCCUUUUUCGCAAGGAGAAUCUUCUACCUCUGGAACGGUAUCGGUGCACGUCCUGGCCAAGUUUCGAUCUUCUCGAAGUACUUGACGGGGACGACGCCGUCGAAGCCCUCCGUCAGUAUCACCUUGUUGUCUGAGAUGUAUAGCUUCAUCCCGUCUGGGAAACAAAUUUGGAAAUCAAAUGUUAGCCUCUAG